GGUAACGAUUAUUGGACUACGGUUAUAGAUAGAAUGGUUGCAUGAGUCAGUUGCAAAAGCGGCUCCAAAGGUUUUUAUGAAAAAUAUGAAAAUUUUCCUGCCUUGAGUGUCAUAUAGAAUGAGUUCCACUUGGACGCUUACAGCGCUCACGCUCAUGCUUACAAAUUGUUCUACUAUCAAACAGACGCAUACAAUCCCUUUGCUUAGGUACACUCCAAGUGGAACAUGCGUGAACCCUAUCAUGAGCGCUUAGCCCGUGUUUAUUAACAAAAAUUAAAUUAAAAACAUGAUACACAAAUUUGAUUUGUUUUCGUGAAUAUUUUGAGUCUAAUUGGAACGCACUCAUAGUUAAAAUUACCACAACAAUUUCGAAUAAAAUUACCCAUAGCAUAUUAUUAAUAUUGCGACAAUAAUCUGUUCAUUCAUUACUGAUCUAUACAAAUUUUUCGGUACAGACAAAUAGAACCCAGGUCAUUUAGAUCCCAACCGAACCUUUAGUAACAUUGUGGAUCUAGUUGUCUCGGGAUCAAAUUAUCGUGUCUUGAUCUAAAAGUCCAGAUAUCCGAAUGUUAUCAGUACAUACAAUUAUAAUAAUAGUUGGUGUGUCGUCUGUAUAAAGGUAAAUACUAAAUAUUUUUUUGAUCUUUCAAAUAAUGUAUCCUUUCACAAUAAUUUUCACAAUAUGAACAUCGUACUUAACAGAACCCCGAACUCAGUGUCAUUUAAGUACUACAAUGUAUUAUAUUGUCAUGAAGUUAAAAGAAUAUGGUUAAGGGUAAAUAGAAUUUUCGAAAAUCCAUUACCUAGGUAAAAAAAUUAUAAAAUCAUUGCAUGAAUAAGUUUUUUUCAUUUUCUCAAACAAUAUUUUACGAGAUACUACCACUGUACAAAUAUUAAGAUUAAAUUGAAUAGAAUUAGGUAUUUUUAUACUUCUAUAUUUUUAAUCUGUGACAUGAUGUUUCUUGAUAAGUUCAAAAUUUACUAAUUUAAAUGGGAGAUGAGCCACCAGUGAAGUAUUAUACAUUAUAUCCAUUUUUAUCAUAACACUGUCAAUUACAAUCUAUAAAUGUGAUAAUGACAAAUAACUGCGUACAGGUAACAGAUUAAAUUUUUUUAAAAAACAUAGAUAACAUAAUAAUAGGUAGUAAAAUGUUCCUAUUUGCAUUUACUAGAAAAAAAUAAAUGAUAAAUGAUCAAUUAUUAUAAUGUCAAGAUUUGUUUUUAAUAAUGGACCAAAACAUUAUUAAAUGGGUGUCAAGACAACAGCUCAUUGAUGUUAUUGGUACCUAUACUAUUUAUAAAAUAUAUUUUACCUAUAUAAUGUGUACUUAUAUAUUAUUACCUAGUAUUACCAAGCUAACUUUGGUUCCAACCAUGUGACUAAUUUUCAUACAACAUUUAUAUACAUAAAACAAGUACAGAUUCUUUGUAAAACCCUAUUCAAAUAUUUAGAUGUAAUGAUUAUCAUUCAAUACUGUGGAUAUCAAAUAAUCUUUAAAUACCUACCUAAAAUAAUUUAAUGAAAAUAAAAUUAUUUUUAUUAAACUACUUGGUGGUUAGGUUUUCUUUAAAUCAAAAGCUAUCUUAAAACAAACUAAAAUUGUAAUAUUCCUGGCUAUAUUUAUUGUAUUAUAUAUUUGUAUAAUUUUUUAUAUUGAUUUAUAAUAGUUUAAUAUUAAUCUUAUAUACUUAUUAAAAUUUUUUUUUUUGCUCAUACUCAUAUUUGCCCCAUAUACUCGAGGUAUAUAAUAAUAAUACAAUCUGUAGAUAAAAAUGAAUGAUCUAAGAGAAUAAUAUAUAUUUAUUUGUUUAUUUAGAAUAAAAAAAUGCUAAAAUAAAUUGUAAUUAUACAUUUAACUAAUAAAUAUUUAUAUGACACCUACCACAUUAUUAUAGCAGAUCUCACACAUGUCUGGAAAAGAGAUGAUACAAUCAAUGCACUUCCAUCCAUGGCCGCCACAAUACCUUGAGAAAUUGGGAGUGUCUCAGAAGGCCCACCAGCAACAAAUGUAGUUACUGCCUAUCGGAUCCAUGAGGCUGUUAAUGUUGGACAUCCAUAAAACUAUAUCCAAAAAGUAAGUACAUUCAAAUAUUAACCAUUAAAUGCCAUUAUUAUACCAAAUAUAUACCAUGAUCUAUAAUAUUUAUUCUAAAAAUCCUAGGGAAUUGAAUCCCAUGCAGAUGGUCAAUUGUUCACCGCAAGGAUCACAACACCACCUGUGUCCACAUGAUAGAAGAACAUUUUAACUUCGCCAACUUCAUCUCUACAUCCCUAACAAACAAAACAAUGAUCAUGUUCAUCACCUGUUAUAGUAUAAAAUAAGUUAUAGUUAAAGUGGUAUUUUUGUAUUAUCUAGUUUAAACUAAUGACAAUUUUUAUAUUAAGAAUAGAGUAUACAUUUGAGCAGUUCUUUAGUAGUAAAAAAAGGGUGUACUGUAUAAGUUAUACUUAUAACUAUACUAUAAUUGAAUGUAAUCUUCUAAAGACAUACCCUAUACAACCUUAACGUGAAGGUAUAUGGUGUAUACCUUUCACUACACCCCUGCAUAAUAUGAGUUACCUGCUAUUUAUGUUAAUGCCUGUUCCUCCAAAUGUAUGCCAUUCAGUUGUUCAGAAUCUUCUCGAUAUUAACAUUUGAAUCAUUUUCAUAAGUAAAAAUAUUUAAAUAUUAAUAUUUUUCUUUAACAAUAAAUUGUUUAUAUUACCUGAAAAUACAGUUUUAAUUGACAUUAAAAAC
rnacentral:lncRNA from 1 species